rnacentral:rRNA from 1 species
CCUACGGGAGGCUGCAGUGGGGGAUAUUGCACAAUGGGCGAAAGCCUGAUGCAGCGACGCCGCGUGAGGGAAGACGGCCUUCGGGUUGUAAACCUCUGUCUUUGGGGACGAUAAUGACGGUACCCAAGGAGGAAGCUCCGGCUAACUACGUGCCAGCAGCCGCGGUAAUACGUAGGGAGCGAGCGUUGUCCGGAAUUACUGGGUGUAAAGGGAGCGUAGGCGGGAGUGCAAGUUGGAUGUGAAAACCAUGGGCUCAACCCAUGGACUGCAUUCAAAACUGUACUUCUUGAGUGAUGUAGAGGCAGGCGGAAUUCCUAGUGUAGCGGUGAAAUGCGUAGAUAUUAGGAGGAACACCAGUGGCGAAGGCGGCCUGCUGGGCAUUUACUGACGCUGAGGCUCGAAAGUGUGGGGAGCAAACAGGAUUAGAUACCCCAGUAGUC